rnacentral:pre_miRNA from 1 species
CUACUACUCCCUCUGUCCGAAAAUACUUGUCGGAGAAAUGGAUAAAAAUAGAUGUAUCUAGAACUAAAAUACAUCUAGAUACAUCCAUUUCUACGACAAGUAUUUCUGGAUGGAGGGAGUACUAA